rnacentral:rRNA from 1 species
GACGAACGCUGGCGGCGUGCCUAACACAUGCAAGUCGAACGGAACUGUUUUGAAAGAUUUCUUCGGAAUGAAUUUGAUUUAGUUUAGUGGUGGACGGGUGAGUAACGCGUGAGUAACCUGCCUUCAAGAGGGGAAUAACAUUCUGAAAAGAAUGCUAAUACCGCAUGACAUAUCGGAACCACAUGGUUUUGAUAUCAAAGAUUUUAUCGCUUGAAGAUGGACUCGCGUCCGAUUAGUUAGUUGGUGAGGUAACGGCUCACCAAGACCGCGAUCGGUAGCCGGACUGAGAGGUUGAACGGCCACAUUGGGACUGAGACACGGCCCAGACUCCUACGGGAGGCAGCAGUGGGGGAUAUUGCGCAAUGGGGGCAACCCUGACGCAGCAACGCCGCGUGAAGGAUGAAGGUUUUCGGAUUGUAAACUUCUUUUAUUAAGGACGAAAAAUGACGGUACUUAAUGAAUAAGCUCCGGCUAACUACGUG